rnacentral:pre_miRNA from 1 species
UUUGUACUCCCUCCGUCCAAAAAUAUUUGUCCUAGGAAUGGAUGAAUCUAGACUUAUUUUAAUUAUAAAUACAUCAAAUAUAUCCAUUUUUAGGACAAGUAUUUCCGGACGGAGGGAGUAGUUA